rnacentral:lncRNA from 1 species
AACCAGCAGCACCCAGUGGCCAGCAGCGUACUCUUUCACUUCUUCUUGGGUGACUUUGUGGAAUGCUCCAAUGUGACAUCUCCCUGUGAACGCCUUUCCUGACACCCUAAAAAGUGUCAGGAAUUUCCAGCAAGUUCCAGAGAGCAGGUUUCCAGCAAGUUUGGUCAGUAUGACACCACAGCAAUAUCUCUGCCAUUCAUUGAACUUGGAUUCUUGCCUCUUCAAUGAGAGAUGUUCAAGAAAAACAACUUCUGUGGAAGAAGAAGAUAGGAGCCCAGGUCCUGUGUUUCACCAAGACAGCCGUGCAAAGCAGACGCUGCCAAAAAGGUGCAAAGUGGUUUGUCAGCUCUUCUGCAUGUUCUAACAAAUUAGACAUGCAUCCCAAAAGGUUUCCUAGACUUUCCAUCACCACCAGUGAAUUCUGAGUGACAAUAGUGUAGAAUUUGGAAGAAUGGAAGAGAAACUGAAGUAGAGAGAUGGUGAAAGAGAAGAAAAAAUUAAGAAAGAUGCUUGCAAAAAUACUGCUGUGGGUCCUGAGAUGAGGAUUCUGGGAGGGCUGAAACGGAUUCCCCUGACAGCUCCCUUCGAGUUCCUGUUCAUCUGAAGUACACCACCCUUCUAGAUAUGCUGUCACUUUCCUUCUGCAGAGCCACAGUGGUGUCCUGUCUUCUCAGACCUCUUCUCACCUCAAAUCACUUAGGACACGGCCACCAGACAGGUUUGGGAUUUCAGAACUUUUCAGAUGUUAGAAAGUUCUUUUCUAAAUGUGAUAAGGAGUUACAGAAUCAUAAAAUGGAAGCAGAGUUAAACUCAGACAUGUGGGCACUCAAGGCGAUUAGGAGUUUUCUGCAAUGAGAAAGGGAUCAGACUGAUCCUUAAGACUUUAUGCAACCCCAGAAUAUUGCAGCCACCUGCAUGCUGAAGGUGUCAGAGUGUUCUCACUGCUGCCUAUAGGAGGGUCUUCAGCCUCCAGUCAUUCAAAGUACCAGGCUGACCUGUGACUGCUUCGGCCAACUGAAUAGGGAAGAGUGAUGCUGUGCUGUUUCCAGGCCUGUUCUUUAAAAGGACUUGGAAGCUUCUUCCUUGGCCUCUUUGUGCCUGAGUUGCUGUAUAAGAAUCUGACUACCUUGCUGGAGAGACGCUGUGGAGAAGACUUGACCUUAUAUGCAGAGGUAGAGGGGCCCUGGUUAGUCCAGCCAUCUAGCCAUCCUGUCAAAAUAGCAGGAGUAUGAUGGCCAAUAGAUCCAAAACCUAUCCUAUAUCUACAUCUUGGUGGCCACAUUAAUCUGACAUCUGACAGCAAGAGCAAUGUUUGGGUUCACUGGAAAUCUUUGUGAAGUACGAGUGAAGUCCUUGUGAAGUCAGAGUUUCCUCUUCAUGCCUCUACUCCUAUGCAGUUUGACCUCUGAGUAUGCAGCUGGUGAUAGAUGGAAACCCUUGUUCAUAAGCUUUGUGGCACUGUCGGCAGGAUGAGGGGACUUCUGGAUCCUCACUGGUCACUGUGGCAGAGUGGUUGGUGUUGUCUGCUCCCUAGACAGGAACCCACUGAAGAAUCUGACAUUUUUUGAUAUGCUGGCUUUCAUUGUUACAGCCCAUCAUCCCAGCCAUCAAUCCAGGACAUGGGGUCCGUGUCCAUGGUGGGAAGGAGGAAGAGGAAGCUGGCUUUGUUCUGACCUUGGGCUUCUUCUGCUCCACCAGUACUUUCUGUGGGGGAAAUAGGUAAAGAAAUGGCUGUUCAGAUGAGAAGAUGUGUCAGUAAACUUCUGCUACAGUGAUGCUGCAAAACAAACCACUGGUGACUUUCAGUGGCACAUAGCAAUAAACAUUUAUUUAGCUCAGGGAUUGACAGUUUUUUUUUUUUUAAAAGGGCCAAAUAGUAAAUAUUUUAGGUGUUUCAGGCCAUACAGUCUCUGAAUUCUGGCCUUGUAGCACAACAGUAGCCUUAGAUGCUAUGCAAAUGGAGGAGCAUGACUGUGUUCCAAUAAAACUUUAUUUAUGGACACU